GAUGAACGCUGGCGGCGUGCUUAACACAUGCAAGUCGAACGAAGAGGCCCAGCUUUCUGGGUGGAGUAGUUGCGAACGGGUGAGUAACACGUGAGUAACCUGCCCUUAACUCUGGGAUAAGCCUGGGAAACUGGGCCUAAUACCUGAUAGGAGCGUCCACCGCACGGUGGGUGUUGGAAAGAUUUAUCGGUUUUGGAUGGACUCGCGGCGUAUCAGCUUGUUGGUGAGGUAAUGGCUAACCAACGCGAUGACGGGGAGCCGGCCUGAGAGGGUGACCGGCGACACGGGGACUGAGGGACGGCCCAGACUGGUACGGGAGGCAGCAGGGGGGAAUAUUGCAGAAGGGGCGCAAGGCGGAUGCAGCGGCGCCGCGUGAGGGAAGACGGCCUUAGGGUUGUAAACCACUUGCAGUAGGGAAGAAGCGAGAGUGACGGUACCUUAAGAAGAAGCCCCGGCUAACUACGUG
rnacentral:rRNA from 1 species